CGAACGCUGGCGGCGUGCUUAACACAUGCAAGUCGAACGAUGAAGCUGGAGCGUUGCUCCGGCGGUAUUAGUGGCGAACGGGUGAGUAACACGUGAGCAAUCUGCCCUUGAACUCUGGGAUAACUGCGGGAAACUGUAGCUAAUACCGGAUACGACGCCUUAGGGGCAUCCCACGGGUCGUGGAAAGAAUUUCGGUCAAGGAUGAGCUCGCGGCCUAUCAGCGUAGUUGGUGAGGUAAUGGCUCACCAAGGCGACGACGGGUAGCCGGCCUGAGAGGGUGACCGGCCACGACUGGGGACUGACGACACGGCCCAGGACUCCUACGGGAGGCAGCAGUGGGGAAUAUUGCGCAAUGGGCGAAAGCCUGACGCAGCAACGCCGCGUGAGGGGAUGAAGGCCUCGGUUUCGUAAACCGUCUUUUAGCAGGGAACGAAGGCGAAAGUCGA
rnacentral:rRNA from 1 species